rnacentral:rRNA from 1 species
UAGUGAGUUUGAUCCUGGCUCAGAUUGAACGCUGGCGGCAUGCUUUACACAUGCAAGUCGAACGGCAGCGCGGGGCAACCUGGCGGCGAGUGGCGAACGGGUGAGUAAUAUAUCGGAACGUACCCAAGAGUGGGGGAUAACGUAGCGAAAGUUACGCUAAUACCGCAUACGAUCUAAGGAUGAAAGCAGGGGGACCGCAAGGCCUGGUGCUCCUGGAGCGGCCGAUAUCUGAUUAGCUAGUUGGUGAGGUAAAGGCUCACCAAGGCGACGAUCGGUAGCUGGUCUGAGAGGAUGAUCAGCCACACUGGAACUGAGACACGGUCCAGACUCCGUACGGGGAGGCAGCAGUGGGGAAUUUCCGCAAUGGGGCGCAAGCCCUGACGGAGCAAUACCGCGUG